rnacentral:rRNA from 1 species
AACGAACGCUGGCGGCAGGCCUAACACAUGCAAGUCGAGCGCGCCUUCGGGUGAGCGGCGGACGGGUGAGUAACGCGUGGGAAUCUGCCCUCAGGAGGGGGAUAACGGUUGGAAACGGCCGCUAAUACCCCAUAUGCCGAGAGGUGAAAUGAAUUUCGCCUGAGGAUGAGCCCGCGUCUGAUUAGCUAGUUGGUGAGGUAAGAGCUCACCAAGGCAUCGAUCAGUAGCUGGUCUGAGAGGAUGAUCAGCCACACUGGGACUGAGACACGGCCCAGACUCCUACGGGAGGCAGCAGUGGGGAAUUUUCCGCAAUGGGCGAAAGCCUGACGGAGCAACGCCGCGUGAGGGAUGAAGGCCUCUGGGCUGUAAACCUCUUUUAUCAAGGAAGAAGAUCUGACGGUACUUGAUGAAUAAGCCACGGCUAAUUCCGUG